AUUGAACGCUGGCGGCAUGCCUUACACAUGCAAGUCGAACGGCAGCACGGGAGCAAUCCUGGUGGCGAGUGGCGAACGGGUGAGUAAAGUAUCGGAACAUGCCCAGUCGUGGGGGAUAACGUAGCGAAAGUUACGCUAAUACCGCAUACGAUCUAUGGAUGAAAGCGGGGGAUCGCAAGACCUCGCGCGAUUGGAGCGGCCGAUAUCAGAUUAGGUAGUUGGUGGGGUAAAGGCUCACCAAGCCGACGAUCUGUAGCUGGUCUGAGAGGACGACCAGCCACACUGGGACUGGGACACGGCCCAGACUCCUACGGGAGGCAGCAGUGGGGAAUUUUGGACAAUGGGCGCAAGCCUGAUUCAGCCAUGCCGCGUGCAGGAUGAAGGCCUUCGGGUUGUAAACUGCUUUUGUACGGAACGAAAAGGUUUGACUUAAUACGUUGGACUCAUGACGGUACCGUAGGAAUAAGCACCGGCUAACUACGUGCCAGCCGCCGCCGUAA
rnacentral:rRNA from 1 species